AUAUCUUUAAAGAAGCCUGGCCGUUGACAGAAGAAAAUACAGUCCAGGUUUCCACCGACGGUGGCUUGUGCGUGGCUUGAAAACCUCGAGGCAAGUUAGCAACGUGAGCCGGACACCGAGCAACAGCCGGAGAGGAGGCCGAGCGUUUCCUUCGGCCCGCUGAGGAAACGAGGCGAGGAGGCGAGGAGGGAACCGGAGGAGAGACGGCUUCAGACAGAAAACAAACUCAAACAGAUGUUGAGGGAUGAGGAGAACAAAGCAGCAGGGAGGAACCUGUGAGGAUUGCACUUUCAUCAGGAGGAAACUGGAGCCUGCAGCCUGAGCCACUGUCCCACUGAGUCUGAGUGUGUGAGCGUGACGGAGAAGACGGGAUCACACACUCACACUCUGUAUGCUGUACAUUAUACUUUGCUUGUUUUUAAUGCAAAAUUUCUACAUUAUUACCCGACCUUGUCCACACAUUACUGCCCAUAACCCGUGUGAUGUUUUACAUUUUAACCGUCUGUUGGACAUUUUUUUGUUGUUACUAUUCAGAUGUAUCCGAGCAACAGACAUAGCUGCUGCUUGUUCAUUGUGCGUCGCUUGCACAUCAUGUGAUGGUUUACAGCAGCGUAUGAAUCCGAAGCAUCCAUUCCAGACACAACCACCAGAGAACUUUCUCAGGAUUUCCCACUGAAACAUCCCAGAAAUAAGCCGACAAACUGAGACUGUCGCUCUACGG